ACAGGGAAACAAGAGGAAGCAGGAGGAGGACGACAGCAACCCUCAGCCAUCCAGCUCUGGCUCACUGGUGCAGCCAGAGAGGAGCUCCAGCCCUCAGCCGUCCACCUCCGGCCAUCAGGUGAACGCUGCUUUGCCACAGAGGAGCUCCACCCUUCCGUCAUCCACCCCAGGGCCACGGGGUAGAGAGCAGGAGGCUGUCCGGAGGGGUCCUUCAACCAGGU